GUGGCAAUCAUGCACAUCAUUCAAAUAGUAUACAGAUAUGCGGAAGUUUCAACAUACGGAAACAUGGCCAAUAUUAUAAUUCAACUGAAUAAUCAAAUAUGAAAUUUCAUAAACCUACAUCAGUAUUUUACAUCAGUCUGCAAAAUCUCUAAUACAUCAAAGCCAGUAUCUUAGUUAAAACUAGGACAAGGCCCCUAGUCGGACCAACUCCAUAAUGAAAUAACAAUGAACUAAAAAUGGCCUUCCAAAGUAAGGGAGGCUCACCAACUACACACUUCUGUCUGACAAAUCUACGCCUUAGCGGGGCCCUGGACUGAGCCUUGGACCCUGAAAUAUAAGGGGCCAAUACUGAUGUACUGGUAUGCAGAGUAAUCCAAAAACAAAAUACAACUUUUACACAACAUAGGUGAGAUCUUUUAUCACUACAAGAAAAAGGUUUAUUUUAGCCCAACUUUUAGGGAUGAGUAAAUAAUUUGGUCUCUAAAAGUAUACUUAUUAGGACGAGACUAAAUUUCGGUCCUUAAUAUUAUAUUUUAUUGCGAAGGUAAAACAUUCGUUCCCUAAUUUUUUUUAGCUAGUCCUAAAUUUUAAUUGGGAGCUUUGAGCGGGAAAAAAUAAUUCCAAAAUAAAAUGUUUAAAUUUUAAUAAUUUAUUGUAUUUCACAAAAAAUUACUUAGCUAGCACAUACGAGUAUUGUAUACAUGAUAUCGUUGACGCCUUCAAUCCACAAACAAAAUACAACGGCUAGUCGUAAAUCAAACACUACAUGUACUAAUUUAGCACCGAUUUUCCAAUUAUUUCUUCAAUUUUAUGGGUUAUUGCAGCUAAUAAUUUGACCUAAUCUCUGGUUUAUCUGAUCUAUCAUGAAUUUGAGUUAUGAUUUAGUUAUUGGUUAUUGCAAUAAUAAUUUGUCCUAAGAUGAUUUUUCAAUCUCUGGUUAUUAUAUAUAAUAAUUUGCCCUAAUCUCUUUCUUCCAAAGUUAUUCUAAAUUGUUUUAUUGCUAUCCGAAUUUGUUAUUUUUAUUGUUUGUACUACUCGAUAAUUCAGUAUGAAAUUUAUCAAUUUGUGGUUGGUUAGUUAUCGUCUUUCUAUCAUCUAGCUACUAGAAAAAGCAAUGGAGUGUAGCGUGUGCAGAUUGGGGCUGGUUUACUGCUACAUGGGGUAGGGCGGGUCUGGGUGGGAUGCGACAGAGAGCCUUAAAAUUUUAAAAAUAUGGUGGUAUGGUGAUGGAAUCUCUGAUAUUGUUGGAAGAAGGUUUGGUUUAGAAAAGUUCUGUUGGUUUUUUUUUAAAUUAUAGAAAAAAUUGAAUUCUUUUAGUCUUUUUUGACACCCUUUUAGUUUCUAUUCAUGUAUGUGGUUAACAAAUGCUUCACCACAAUCCUAUGUGCUUUUCCUCAUAUUGAAAUGGUAUUUUACUUUCUAAUUAUAGUUAAAGAUUGAAUUUUUUUGGCUCUUUCUUGGAACCCUUUUAAUUUGUGUUAUGGGUGUGGUUAACAAAUAAUAUAUGGUUAGACGCUUCACCAUAAUGUUCUGUGUUUUUCCUCAUGUAAAAUGAAUUUAAAUGUUGUUUUAUUAUUCUUUUUUCUCCCUAAUUUUAGUUAAUGAUUGGAUUUAUUUGUUAAUUUCCUGGCACCCUUUUCAUUUCUAUUCAUGGGUGUCAUUAACAAAUAUCCCUACAUUAUAACAGUCCUUUCUAUUUUAUUUUUCUCAUAUCAAAAUGGUACAAUGUUUUUUUCUUUCUCUUUUUGCUGGCAAAUUAUAGAAAAAGAUUGGAUUUUUCUCUCUUUCUGGACACCUUUUUAUUUUCUAUUAACAAGUGUGGUUGAAAAAUACUGUAAGGUUAAAUGUUUCACUACAUUCCUUUGUGUUUUUCCUUAUAUUAUAAUGGGUUUAAAUAUUAUUUUCUUGAUCUUUUUGCUUCCUAAUUAUAGUUAAACAUUGAUUUUUUUUUGUUUCUGGUCAACUAUUUAGUUUCUGUUCAUGGGUAAUAUGGAGGGAGAAUAGGCUCCAAGUAACAUGGGAUUACUGCAAUUUUAUUCUUUGAUUAUCUUAAUGAGACAAAUAAAUGGUUGCUAAUUCCCCAAAUGAAGAAGAGUACAUCAAAAUGCUAAAUCUGUUGCUUAUUUUGAAAAAUGAAGCAUACAAUAGAAGUUACACAUAAUUAUUUUUUGUUCUCACCUUAAAAAAUGCAAAUGGAGAUUCCCAGAUUCUUCUCGCAUCAUCAUACCGAUGCCAAAAAAAUAGAAGUUAUAGAUUAGGCCAUAAAUGCAUAAAAUUUGUCUCUCCGGGGUCUAGUUUUAAAAUAGAUCACCAAAAUGAGUACUUCAAAAGUUGCAUUAUUUUAGCAUCUGAACUUUCUUUCUAAAUGUGAUAGUCAAGGUUGAAAUUUCAUAAAAUUCUACUAUUACUUUGCUAAGUGUUUGUUUGAGUAUUCUUUUCUAUCCAUUGAGCAUUCUGUGAAUUUCCUACACUUGGAUGUUUCUUUGCCAAGCUUUUGGUUGUUG
rnacentral:lncRNA from 1 species